rnacentral:tRNA from 1 species
CUUAUGGUGUAAGGUUAAUAACACAUCGGAUUUUCGUACCGAAGAUGAAAUUUUCUAAG